GAUGAACGCUGACAGAAUGCUUAACACAUGCAAGUCUACUUGAUCCUUCGGGUGAUGGUGGCGGACGGGUGAGUAACGCGUAAAGAACUUGCCUUGCAGUCUGGGACAACGUCUGGAAACGGACGCUAAUACCGGAUAUUAUGAUUGAAUCGCAUGAUUUAAUUAUGAAAGCUAUAUGCGCUGCGAGAGAGCUUUGCGUCCCAUUAGUUAGUUGGUGAGGUAACGGCUCACCAAGACGAUGAUGGGUAGCCGGCCCGAGAGACUGAUCGGCCACAAUGGAACUGAGACACGGUCCAU
rnacentral:rRNA from 1 species